GGCUUGCAAAUUAUUGACUACCCCGCGUGUCUAUCUUUCCAAGCAUUUCCAAGCAAAAAUAAAGAAAAAGAAAUAAACGAAAUAAAAAAUGAAAAAGAAAAAAUAAUAAUUGGCAAAGAAGAAAAUGAACAUACAUACAUUGCAUCUGACUGUGUGAACAGGGAAUAGGUCAGUGGAUGUUUGAAGAAGUUUGCCGAUUGU
rnacentral:lncRNA from 1 species